AUUAACCUAGUUUAACAAAAAUAUUAGCUUGUCGAGCUUUAGAUCCAAAAUGUUUGGGGUUAAUG
rnacentral:tRNA from 1 species